rnacentral:rRNA from 1 species
CAUGUCUUUUAGAUUUUUAAUUUAAAGUUUAAUCUGCCCAGUGAAAUUUUUAACGGCUGCGGUAUUUUGACCGUACAAAGGUAGCGUGAUAAUUAGUUUUUUUAUUGGAAACUGGUAUGAAGGAUUGGACGAGAAAAAUUCUGUUUCAAUAAAAUUUUAUUAGAAUUUUAUUUUUGAGUGAGAAAGCUCAAAUUUUUUUAUUGGACGAGAAGACCCUAUAGAGUUUAAAAUUUUAUUUUAAUAUUGUUCAGAGGUAUAGAUUUAUUUUUAUUUUAAUUUUUUUGAUUGGGGUGAUUGAAAGAUUUGAUUAACUCUUUUUUUAAAAAACAAUGAUUUUUGAUUAUUUGAUCCAUUUAUUUUGAUUAUAAGAUUAAAUUACCUUAGGGAUAACAGCGUAAUUUUUUUAAAAGUUCUUAUUGAUUAUAAAGAUUGCGACCUCGAUGUUGGAUUAAAAUUUAGUUUAGGUGCAGUAGCUUAAAUGUUAAGUCUGUUCGACUUUUAAAAUUUUACAUGAUCUGAGU